GGAUGUGAGGGCACUCUGGCUGGGACAUCUGUCACCCCAUUGAUCAUCAGGGUUGAUUCAGCUGAUCUGGCUGACUAGGCGGGUGUCCCCUUACUCCCUCACCUCUCCAUGCACAUCCCUCCCAAAGCUUCACACUCCAUCAAAGAGGAUGCCCUUCCCCAGUAGAGGAGAGGACCGUUCUUUGGUAAAGGAUGUACAAGUAGUUGUGCUCCCCUGCUAGAAUCUCCAAACAAGCUCUCAAGGUAGGAGGACGUAAGGUAGUCAAGCUUCCAANNNNNNNNNN
ensembl:misc_RNA 7SK 7SK RNA